rnacentral:lncRNA from 13 species
AUGGGAGCUGCGGGUGACAAAUCUGUCCCAACGGGAUAUGACACCAACCUCAAGGAAGAGGCUGAUCUCUGCACUUUCCAAAAGCUGCUGUUCUGGGACCUGGCAGAAAAUUGGAGUUCAUGGAUUCCAAGCAGGCAUAAUGGCUCUCUGCAAGACCAAGGAAUGGGCAGAAUAAGUCCUGUGUGAGUGCAGACGCCACAACCUUGUGCAGUUGCCAUUCGUGCCUCCAGCAUGUGGUUCCAUUGCUUCAUGGCCAGGAGGACCCCUCUGCCCAAGGACACCCAAGAAGCACAUAGUGAAGCACGCACGGAGCUCUGGUAGGUGUCGCUUUCAUUUCUGGUCAGUAAGAAACCUUAGCCCUUCUGCUGUUUCAGGCAACCCUUAGUAAACUCACAGGCAUUUUUUUCCUUUUUUUGAGAUAGAGUCUCCCACUAUCCCCCAGGCUGGGGUACGGUGGCGUGACCUUGGCUCACUGCAACCUCCACCUCCUGGCUUCAAGUGAUUCUCGUGUCUCAGCCUCCCAAUUACAGGCAGGUGCCCCAUGCCCAGCUAAUUUUUGUAUUUUUUUUAGUAGAGACAGCGUUUGACCAUGUUGGCCAGGCUGGUCUCAAACUCCUGAUCUCAGGUGAUCUGCCUGCCUUGGCCUCCCAAAGUGCUGAGAUUACAGGCAUGAGCUACUGCGCCUGACUAGAAUUUUUUGUAUUUAGUAGAGACAGGGUUUCACUAUGUUGCCCAGGCUGACCUUGAACUCCUGAGCUCAGGAAAUCCACCCGCCUCGGCCUCCCAAAGUGCAAGGAUUACAGGAGUAAGCCACUGUCCAGCCGCAUUUUAAAAAUCUUCAUCUCAUAGAUCCUCCUCAGUUUUCUAAGACUGUAGAUGGGCGAUUUGAAAUUAACUGAAAUCAAAACGUCUCGUUAUAAGUGUCAUAGUAAUACCAUGCAAGCCUGUAAGGCUGUCAUCGGGGAGUAUUUUUCUUGGUUACACUUGAUAUUGGGCAGGUAUCAAGGCUCCCAGACACUUCAGCUUGUCCAACCUUAGAGCCUAUGUCUACAUUGAUUAACAAAUUGCUCAAAAGAGAGCCACAGGCCACUGCAGAUAGCUUUGUCUGGUGACAGAGGAGUUGAUCCAUGCCCUGCCUUUCCCUCACAAACUCAGGUCUCUCAGCCUUUUUCCUCAAUUGGAUUGGUUUGAAAUCCGAUUGCAACAUAUUUAUAGAUGAUUGAUCUAUUCUUUUCAAGGGGCAAAUCAAACUCAGAAAAUCUCUGUCAACACAAGAAGGCAAUGAAAACAAGGGCGAGAAAUUCUUUAAAUCCAAAAGUAGGACUUUGAGGAAAGGCAAGCUGGUGAAGCAAGCAGUGCAGGGACCCAGGCUCAUCAGGACGGUGUGAGAAGCCUGUCCUGCAGAGCCCCAGACACCACGGACUUAUGACAUCUUUUCCUUCAUUUUGGCCUCAGAAAAUCUCAUCUUCUCCCUUUAAAGUCAUUUCCCAAAUGCUCACCAAAUCCCCUCCAGAAGUUAUUUUAUUUUAUUUAUUUAUUUAUUUAUUUUUAAUUUUUUUUUUUUGAGACGGAGUUUCGCUCUUGUUACCCAGGCUGGAGUGCGGCGAGAUCUCGGCUCACCGCAACCUCCGCCUCCUGGGUUCAGGCAAUUCUUCUGCCUCAGCCUCCUGAGUAGCUGGGAUUACAGGCACGCGCCACCAUGCCCAGCUAAUUUUUUGUAAUUUGUAGUAGAGACGGGGUUUCACCAUGUUGACCAGGAUGGUCUCGAUCUCUUGACCUUGGUAUCCACCCGUCUCAGCCUCCCAAAGUGCUGGGAUUACAGGCAUGAGCCACUGUGCCCAGCCCCAGAAGUUUUUUUUUUUUUUUUUUAAAUAAAAUAGAGAUUUUAUUGUAAAAGUAAUUUUUG